rnacentral:rRNA from 1 species
UACGAACCGUGCGAACGUUAUUCGGAAUCAUUGGGCUUAAAGCGCGUGUAGGCGGAUUCGUGCGUCUGUCGUUGAAAUCCCCCGGCUCAACCGGGGAAGUGGCGCGGAUACGACGAGUCUGGAGGGGCAUAGGGGGACCUGGAACUUCCGGUGGAGCGGUGAAAUGCGUUGAGAUCGGAAGGAACGCCCGUGGCGAAAGCGAGGUCCUGGAUGCCUACUGACGCUGAGACGCGAAAGCCAGGGGAGCGAACGGG